rnacentral:rRNA from 1 species
UACAGAGGUCUCAAGCGUUGUUCGGAUUCAUUGGGCGUAAAGGGUGCGUAGGCGGCGCGGUAAGUCGGGUGUGAAAUCUCGGAGCUUAACUCCGAAACUGCAUUCGAUACUGCCGUGCUUGAGGACUGGAGAGGAGACUGGAAUUUACGGUGUAGCGGUGAAAUGCGUAGAUAUCGGAAGGAAGACCAGUGGCGAAGGCGGGUCUCUGGACAGUUCCUGACGCUGAGGCACGAAGGCCAGGGGAGCAAACGGG